UACGUAGGGAGCGAGCGUUGUCCGGAUUUAUUGGGCGUAAAGGGCGUGUAGGCGGCUUGUUAAGUCUGAGGUGAAAAUCCAGGGCUCAACCCUGGAACUGCCUCGGAUACUGGCGAGCUUGAGUGCUCUAGAGGGCAGUGGAAUUCCGGGUGUAGCAGUGAAAUGCGUAGAUAUCCGGAGGAACACCAGUGGCGAAGGCGACUGCCUGGGGAGUAACUGACGCUGAGGCGCGAAAGCUGGGGGAGCAAACGGGG
rnacentral:rRNA from 1 species